GUUGUACUCCCUCCGUUCGGAAUUACUUGUCUCGGAAAUGGUUGUAUCUAGAACUAAAAUACAUCUAGAUACAUCCAUUUCUACGACAAGUAAUUCUGAACGGAGGGAGUACAAG
rnacentral:pre_miRNA from 1 species